AUUGAACGCUGGCGGCAGGCUUAACACAUGCAAGUCGAGCGGAGCGAGGGUGCUUGCACCUUAGCUUAGCGGCGGACGGGUGAGUAAUGCUUAGGAAUCUGCCUAUUAGUGGGGGACAACAUUCCGAAAGGAAUGCUAAUACCGCAUACGCCCUACGGGGGAAAGCAGGGGAUCUUCGGACCUUGCGCUAAUAGAUGAGCCUAAGUCGGAUUAGCUAGUUGGUGGGGUAAAGGCCUACCAAGGCGACGAUCUGUAGCGGGUCUGAGAGGAUGAUCCGCCACAUGGGGACUGAGACACGGCCCAGACGCCUACGGGAGGCAGCAGUGGGGAAGAUGGGACAAUGGGCGGAAGCCUGAUCCAGCCAUGCCGCGUGUGUGAAGAAGGCCUUUUGGUUGUAAAGCACUUUAAGCGAGGAGGAGGCUCUUAAGGUUAAUACCCUUGAUGAGUGGACGUUACUCGCAGAAUAAGCACCGGCUAACUCUGUGCCAGCAGCCGCCGUAAUAC
rnacentral:rRNA from 1 species